CGCGGGAUUGCACGGGGGGACGGGGUGUAGCCGGCGCGAAAACUUUACAAUGCCGGCAACGGCGAUAAGGGAACCUCGAGUGCCAGGUUACAAAUCUGGCUGUCGUGAUGCCUAAAAAGCAUUGCAUAGCAAGGGCCGGGCAAGACCGGUGCCAGCCGCCGCGGUAACACCGGCGGCUCGAGUGGUAACCGUUAUUAUUGGGUCUAAAGGGUCUGUAGCCGGCCGGAUAAGUCUCUUGGGAAAUCCAGCAGCUCAACUGUUGGGCUUUCAGGAGAUACUGUUCGGCUCGAGGCCGGGAGAGGUGAGAGGUACUUCAGGGGUAGGGGUGAAAUCUUGUAAUCCUUGAAGGACCACCAGUGGCGAAGGCGUCUCACCAGAACGGACCUGACGGCAAGGGACGAAAGCUAGGGGCACGAACCGGAUUAGAUACCCGGGUAGUCCUAGCCGUAAACGAUACUCGCUAGGUGUCGGCCACGGUGCGACCGUUGUCGGUGCCGUAGGGAAGCCGUGAAGCGAGCCACCUGGGAAGUACGGCCGCAAGGCUGAAACUUAAAGGAAUUGGCGGGGGAGCACCACAACGGGUGGAGCUUGCGGUUUAAUUGGAUUCAACGCCGGAAAUCUUACCGGGACCGACAGCAAUAUGAAGGCCAGGCUGAAGACUUUGCCGGAUUAGCUGAGAGGUGGUGCAUGGCCGUCGUCAGUUCGUACUGUGAAGCAUCCUGUUAAGUCAGGCAACGAGCGAGACCCACGCCCACAGUUGCCAGCGUACUCUCCGGAGUGACGGGUACACUGUGGGGACCGCCGCUGCUAAAGCGGAGGAAGGAAUGGGCAACGGUAGGUCAGUAUGCCCCGAAUAUCCCGGGCUACACGCGAGCUACAAUGGUUGGUACAAUGGGUAUCUACCCCGAAAGGGGAUGGAAAUCUCCUAAAGCCAAUCUUAGUUCGGAUUGAGGGCUGCAACUCGCCCUCAUGAAGCUGGAAUCCGUAGUAAUCGCGUUUCAACAGAACGCGGUGAAUACGUCCCUGCUCCUUGCACGAGUUCACCGAAUCACUAGU
rnacentral:rRNA from 1 species